UGGGAAUUUGGACAAUGGGCGAAAGCCUGAUCCAGCAAUGCCGCGUGUGUGAAGAAGGCCUUCGGGUUGUAAAGCACUUUUGUCCGGAAAGAAAUCCUUGGCUCUAAUACAGUCGGGGGAUGACGGUACCGGAAGAAUAAGCACCGGCUAACUACGUGCCAGCAGCCGCGGUAAUACGUAGGGUGCAAGCGUUAAUCGGAAUUACUGGGCGUAAAGCGUGCGCAGGCGGUUUGCUAAGACCGAUGUGAAAUCCCCGGGCUCAACCUGGGAACUGCAUUGGUGACUGGCAGGCUAGAGUAUGGCAGAGGGGGGUAGAAUUCCACGUGUAGCAGUGAAAUGCGUAGAGAUGUGGAGGAAUACCGAUGGCGAAGGCAGCCCCCUGGGCCAAUACUGACGCUCAUGCACGAAAGCGUGGGGAGCAAAACAGGAUUAGAUACCCUGGUAGUCCACGCCCUAAAACGAUGUCAACUAGUUGUUGGGGAUUCAUUUCCUUAGUAACGUAGCUAACGCGUGAAGUUGACCGCCUGGGGAGUACGGUCGCAAGAUUAAAACUCAAAUGAAUUGACGGGGUCAUAGCUGUUUCC
rnacentral:rRNA from 1 species